GACGAACGCUGGCGGCGUGCUUAACACAUGCAAGUCGAACGGAAAGGCCCUGCUUUUGUGGGGUGCUCGAGUGGCGAACGGGUGAGUAACACGUGAGUAACCUGCCCUUGACUGUGGGAUAACUUCAGGAAACUGGGGCUAAUACCGGAUAGGAGCUCCUGCUGCAUGGUGGGGGUUGGAAAGUUUCGGCGGUUGGGGAUGGACUCGCGGCUUAUCAGCUUGUUGGUGGGGUAGUGGCUUACCAAGGCUUGGACGGGUAGCCGGCCUGAGAGGGUAACCGGCCACAUUGGGACUGGGAUACGGCCCAGACUCCUACGGGAGGCAGCGGUGGGGAAUAUUGCACUAUGGGCGGAAGCCUGAUGCAGUAACGCCGCGUGCGGGAUGACGGCCUUCGGGUUGUAAACCGCUUUCGCCUGUGACGAAGCGUGAGUGACGGUAAUGGGUGAAGAAGCACCGGCUAACUACGUG
rnacentral:rRNA from 1 species